AAUCAACGCUGGCGGCGUGCCUCAGACAUGCAAGUCGAACGAUUAAGACUUCCUUCGGGAAGUGCAUAAAGUGGCGCACGGGUGAGUAACACGUAAGUAAUCUACCCUCGAGUGGGGAAUAACAGUCGGAAACGACUGCUAAUACCGCAUAAUGCAGCGGCACCGCAAGGUGACAGUUGUUAAAGGAGCAAUCCGCUUGAGGAGGAGCUUGCGGCAGAUUAGCUAGUUGGUAAGGUAACGGCUUACCAAGGCUACGAUCUGUAUCCGGUCUAAGAGGACGGUCGGACACACUGACACUGAAUAACGGGUCAGACUCCUACGGGAGGCAGCAGUCGGGAAUUUUGGGCAAUGGGCGAAAGCCUGACCCAGCAACGCCGCGUGAAGGAUGAAGUAUUUCGGUAUGUAAACUUCGAAAGAAUAGGAAGAAUAAAUGACGGUACUAUUUAUAAGCUCCGGCUAACUACGUGCCAGCAGCCGCCGUAACAC
rnacentral:rRNA from 1 species